rnacentral:rRNA from 1 species
AGUCGAGCGGUAGCACAGAGAGCUUGCUCUCGGGUGACGAGCGGCGGACGGGUGAGUAAUGUCUGGGAAACUGCCUGAUGGAGGGGGAUAACUACUGGAAACGGUAGCUAAUACCGCAUAACGUCGCAAGACCAAAGUGGGGGACCUUCGGGCCUCAUGCCAUCAGAUGUGCCCAGAUGGGAUUAGCUAGUAGGUGGGGUAACGGCUCACCUAGGCGACGAUCCCUAGCUGGUCUGAGAGGAUGACCAGCCACACUGGAACUGAGACACGGUCCAGACUCCUACGGGAGGCAGCAGUGGGGAAUAUUGCACAAUGGGCGCAAGCCUGAUGCAGCCAUGCCGCGUGUAUGAAGAAGGCCUUCGGGUUGUAAAGUACUUUCAGCGGGGAGGAAGGCGAUAAGGUUAAUAACCUUGUCGAUUGACGUUACCCGCAGAAGAAGCACCGGCUAACUCCGUGCCAGCAGCCGCGGUAAUACGGAGGGUGCAAGCGUUAAUCGGAAUUACUGGGCGUAAAGCGCACGCAGGCGGUCUGUCAAGUCGGAUGUGAAAUCCCCGGGCUCAACCUGGGAACUGCAUUCGAAACUGGCAGGCUAGAGUCUUGUAGAGGGGGGUAGAAUUCCAGGUGUAGCGGUGAAAUGCGUAGAGAUCUGGAGGAAUACCGGUGGCGAAGGCGGCCCCCUGGACAAAGACUGACGCUCAGGUGCGAAAGCGUGGGGGAGCAAACAGGAUUAGAUACCCUGGUAGUCCACGCCGUAAACGAUGUCGAUUUGGAGGUUGUGCCCUUGAGGCGUGGCUUCCGGAGCUAACGCGUUAAAUCGACCGCCUGGGGAGUACGGCCGCAAGGUUAAAACUCAAAUGAAUUGAC